UUUGCUACUCUGAAGGGACCCUCCCAGGUCAGUGCCAACUUUCCUACUGCCGCUCUCUUCCCAGUAGCUUCCAGGUUUCUCAGGGCCAGAUCUCCUACUUUCAGGCUUCUUUCUCUGACCCUUUGAUUGUAAUAACGGGCUGCCCUUUGCUGAUAAGCGGCAGUUCGGACUUGAGCUUCCUCCCUAACUUCUUCCAGAGCAUCCAGGUUACUUCUUAACUUAUCAUCGUUGGUGCUCUCGCUAUUGAAUUGGACUCGA
rnacentral:lncRNA from 1 species